rnacentral:rRNA from 1 species
CCUACGGGUGGCUGCAGUGAGGAAUAUUGGUCAAUGGGCGCGAGCCUGAACCAGCCACGUAGCGUGAAGGAAGACUGCCCUACGGGUUGUAAACUUCUUUUAUAAGGGAAUAAAGUGAGGCACGCGUGCCUUUUUGCAUGUACUUUAUGAAUAAGGAUCGGCUAACUCCGUGCCAGCAGCCGCGGUAAUACGGAGGAUCCGAGCGUUAUCCGGAUUUAUUGGGUUUAAAGGGAGCGUAGAUGGGUUGUUAAGUCAGUUGUGAAAGUUUGCGGCUCAACCGGAAAAUUGCAAUUGAUACUGGCAGCCUUGAGUGUAGGUGAGGUAGGCGGAAUUCGUGGUGUAGCGGUGAAAUGCUUAGAUAUCACGAAGAACACCGAUUGCGAAGGCAGCUUACUAAGCUGCCACUGACAUUGAUGCUCGAAAGUGUGGGUAUCAAACAGGAUUAGAUACCCGUGUAGUC